UACGUAGGGUGCGAGCGUUGUCCGGAAUUAUUGGGCGUAAAGGGCUCGUAGGCGGUUUGUCGCGUCGGGAGUGAAAACGCCGUGCUUAACACGGCGCUUGCUUUCGAUACGGGCAGACUAGAGGUAUGCAGGGGAGAACGGAAUUCCUGGUGUAGCGGUGAAAUGCGCAGAUAUCAGGAGGAACACCGGUGGCGAAGGCGGUUCUCUGGGCCUGUACUGACGCUGAGGAGCGAAAGCGUGGGGAGCGAACAGG
rnacentral:rRNA from 1 species